UAUUUCCAGCACUCGAGCAUAUAUGGAGGUGCAAGGGGGAGGUUCUGUGGGCCAAGGUGGGGCCUUAUCAGCUAUACACAGCUGACUUUAUAAGCUUGGCACCUGGUAGGGAAUUGGUGUGUGAGGUGAGUUUGUGAGUUGUUUUGAUAUGCAAUUAUUUAAAUAUGAUUUGUGCAGAUAAUCAAUGGUUACCUCACACUACUAACACAACACAAUCAAAGAUGAGGGUCAUUGAUUCAUAUGAGAUGACAUCCAUAUGGAACAGAACAUCAAGGGGGAUGAGAAUGGUGAGAAUAAUGGUUGUUUUUCAAAGGUGUUCACUACAAUUACACAUCUUGAAUCUUAAAUUUUCACUUGCAGCUUGACCUGUUGGACUGGCAUGUAUUGAGUGGGGCCAGCUGCAAGGAUCAUCAUUGGACUUUAGUCGCAAUGUAUCCGAAUGAGAGACGGUCCCUCUUUAUUGACCCAUUCGGAGCCACCAAAAAUCAGAUAAAACAGUGCAGGGAUUCAACAAGGGCCUUCAUGUGGAAAAAAAAAUGUAAAUAUCUCUCGAUGGACCUGCAACACAAUCACGCAUCCCUGCCACCAGGAUUCCACGUCAUGUGGAAUAAUAAUUUGCAAAAUAAGAUUAUGUACCCUAAUGAAGUAUUUUAAAUGUGUGAAUUGAGUUGCACU